rnacentral:tRNA from 1 species
GUGGAGAUGUGGCUCAAGCUGUAGCGUGCUCGCCUGGCAUGCGUGCAGCCUGGGUUCAAUCCUCAGCACCACA